rnacentral:rRNA from 1 species
CAGUAGCCGCGGGAAAACGUAGGUGGCAAGCGUUGUCCGGAAUUAUUGGGCGUAAAGGGCUCGCAGGCGGUUUCUUAAGUCUGAUGUGAAAGCCCCCGGCUCAACCGGGGAGGGUCAUUGGAAACUGGGAAACUUGAGUGCAGAAGAGGAGAGUGGAAUUCCACGUGUAGCGGUGAAAUGCGUAGAGAUGUGGAGGAACACCAGUGGCGAAGGCGACUCUCUGGUCUGUAACUGACGCUGAGGAGCGAAAGCGUGGGGAGCAAACAGGAUUAGAUACCCCAGUAGUCCCUGUCUCUUAUAC